UACGAAGGGGGCUAGCGUUGCUCGGAAUUACUGGGCGUAAAGCGCACGUAGGCGGCUCUUUAAGUCGGGGGUGAAAUCCUGGAGCUCAACUCCAGAACUGCCUUCGAUACUGAAGAGCUUGAGUCCGGGAGAGGUGAGUGGAACUGCGAGUGUAGAGGUGAAAUUCGUAGAUAUUCGGAAGAACAGCCAGUGGCGAAGGCGGCUCACUGGCCCGUUACCGACGCUCAGGCGCG
rnacentral:rRNA from 1 species